rnacentral:rRNA from 1 species
CCCUUAGAUGUUCUGGGCUGCACGCGCGCUACACUGAAGCGUUCAACGAGUAUUCACCUUGCCCGGGAGGGUUGGGUAAUCUUUUGAAAACGCUUCGUGAUGGGGAUAGAUUAUUGCAAUUAUUAAUCUUCAACGAGGAAUUCCUAGUAAGCGCGAGUCAUCAGCUCGUGCUGAUUACGUCCCUGCCCUUUGUACACACCGCCCGUCGCUCCUACCGAUUGAAUGGUCCGGUGAAGCGCUCGGACCGCGGCCUCUUGACGGUUCGCUGUCGAUUGGCUGUGGGAAGUUCGUUAAACCUUAUCAUUUAGAGGAAGGAGAANUCGUAACA